GAUGAAGAACGCAGCGAAAUGCGAUAAGUAAUGUGAAUUGCAGAAUUCAGUGAAUCAUCGAAUCUUUGAACGCACAUUGCGCCCCCUGGUAUUCCGGGGGGCAUGCCUGUUCGAGCGUCAUUUCACCACUCAAGCCUCGCUUGGUAUUGGGCGACGCGGUCCGCCGCGCGCCUCAAAUCGACCGGCUGGGUCUUCCGUCCCCUCAGCGUUGUGGAAACUAUUCGCUAAAGGGUGCCGCGGGAGGUCACGCCGCAAAACAACCCCAUUUCUAAGGUUGACCUCGGAUCAGGUAGGGAUACCCGCUGAACUUAAGCAUAUCAAUAAGCGAGGA
rnacentral:misc_RNA from 1 species